rnacentral:tRNA from 1 species
GCCCAGAUAGCUCAGUUGGUUAGAGCACAUCAUUGGUAAUGAUGAGGUCGGCGGUUCGAAUCCGCCUCUGGGCU